ACGAGGCAUUUGACAGGAAGGAUUUUGCUGCGGCUAGAGAUGCUUAUACGCUAGUACCUAUUGGGCUUAUUGAAUUCUUCCUGUAUACCCAACACUAACCCUUCCCCAGUAAAAUACCUGCAAAAGGGAAAAAGAAAGAAGAUAAUGAUGAGAUGAAGUAGUCAUCCUCUUCAUGUUGCAAGUAAUUAAUAAUGUGUAUGCAUUACUUACUGAGCUCACUUGUGUUUGCUGAUACUCUGCAGGCAAUCAGUUCUGAUCCAACUGAUGGCACUCUGUUUUCCAAUAGAAGUGAUUGUUGGUUCCACCUGGGGCAAGGUGAAUCUGCCUUAACUGAUGCCAAGGCCUGCAAAAAACUUGGACAAGAUUUGGCAAAGGCUUAUUAUCGGGAAGGUGCAGCUAUACGUCUAUUGCAGGCAUGCUCCCCCUUCCUCUCCUGGAAUCAAAUUUUGCCAACUUAUAUACCUAUAUGUUCUGAUAUUCUAAUAUUUCCUUCUCAGAGGUUUGAAGAGGCAGCCAAUGCUUUCUAUAGGGGCAUCCAGAUCGACCCUAAUGAUGAGCUCAUAACUGCUU
rnacentral:lncRNA from 1 species